GCAGCACGGUGGCACAGUGGUUAGCGCUGUUGCCUCACACCAAGAAGGUCGUGGGUUUGAUUCUGGCCUGGGGCU